GCCAGUGUAGCAUAGUGGUUUCAGUGUUGGACUUUGACUCUGGUGACCAGGGUUGAAUUCCCUGCUCAGCCA